rnacentral:misc_RNA from 1 species
UCCAGUUUAUCACUGGCGGUCCUCUUAGAGUGCCCAGCUUAACCUGAUGGCAACUAAGAGCAAUGGUUGCGCUCGUUGCGGGACUUAACCCAACACUUCACAGCACGAGCUGACGACAGCCAUGCAGCACCUGUGUAUGCCUCCGAUUGGAUACGGUCGCCCCGGCUUUCACCAGGACUACUGCAAACAUGUCAAGCCUAGGUAAGGUUCUUCGCGUAGCCUCGAAUUAAACCACAUGCUCCACCGCUUGUGCGGGUCCCCGUCAAUUCCUUUGAGUUUCAGUCUUGCGACCGUACUCCCCAGGUGGUGGAUUUAAUGAGUUAUCGUCGGCGCCGAGGGGAUCGACACCCCCGACACCUAAUCCACAUCGUUUACGGCAAGGACUAC